UACAGAGGUGGCAAGCGUUGUUCGGAAUUACUGGGCGUAAAGGGCGCGUAGGCGGCCAUCUAAGUCGGACGUGAAAGCCCCAGGCUUAACCUGGGAACUGCGUCCGAUACUGGGCGGCUUGGAUUCGGGAGAGGGAUGUGGAAUUCCAGGUGUAGCGGUGAAAUGCGUAGAUAUCUGGAGGAACACCGGUGGCGAAGGCGGCAUCCUGGACCGAGAUCGACGCUGAGGCGCGAAAGCUAGGGGAGCAAACGGG
rnacentral:rRNA from 1 species